rnacentral:rRNA from 1 species
CCUACGGGUGGCACCAGUGGGGAAUAUUGCACAAUGGGCGCAAGCCUGAUGCAGCCAUGCCGCGUGUGUGAAGAAGGCCUUCGGGUUGUAAAGCACUUUCAGCGGGGAGGAAGGCGUUAAGGUUAAUAACCUCAUCGAUUGACGUUACCCGCAGAAGAAGCACCGGCUAACUCCGUGCCAGCAGCCGCGGUAAUACGGAGGGUGCAAGCGUUAAUCGGAAUUACUGGGCGUAAAGCGCACGCAGGCGGUCUGUCAAGUCGGAUGUGAAAUCCCCGGGCUCAACCUGGGAACUGCAUUCGAAACUGGCAGGCCAGAGUCUUGUAGAGGGGGGUAGAAUUCCAGGUCUAGCGGUGAAAUGCGUAGAGAUCUGGAGGAAUACCGGUGGCGAAGGCGGCCCCCUGGACAAAGACUGACGCUCAGGUGCGAAAGCGUGGGGAGCAAACAGGAUUAGAUACCCCAGUAGUC